UUCUAUGGCCUUGCCACCCUGAUCAUGCUAGAUCUUGUCUGAUCUCAGAAGCUAAAUAGGGUUGGGCCUGGUUAGUACUUGAAUAGGAGAUUUUAAGGGAUUGGCUCACAAGAUUGUGGAUU
rnacentral:rRNA from 1 species